ensembl:processed_transcript 5430405H02Rik RIKEN cDNA 5430405H02 gene
AGCCCCUCCGAGGAAAGCCGAGAUUGUACGUUUCCUUGCCGGCUGAGCCGCGGCUCGUCCCCCGGAGCGACACAAAGAAGAAGUGGCCUUGCAUCCUGCUCCGCCUCCCGAGCCGGGUCCUUGGUCCCCGGAAGCCCUGGGCUGCCCCACUGGAGUUACCUUCUGUGCGUUCUCUCCUAAACCUACACGUUAUUCACGACUUUGUUCAUGACUAUGGAAAACAAAACAAAAACAAAAACCAAACCAAAGUUCCCUCGCCUGGCGAUGGUGCAAGCCUGUCUACCUGCUGGAGGAUGGGAAGACCAAACCAAGAAUUAAACAACCACUCUAGUCUGAACUCAGCACCACUGCAGAGAAUCUGCUGGUCCCUAUACAACCAUCCUGUGGGAAGUAGAUUACCCACUUACCGAGCUCCACCCACCGUGUAAGGUGCUCUCUCCCCACACCUGUGCUUCUGGGCUACCUACUGCAUUAACACAAACCACAGCAAAAGGAAAAUAAAACAAUUUAGCAAAAAUCUAAACAUUCAACUGGAGUCGGUUCUGUGACAUCUGCUGGGCAUUUCCUUUGUCCUUUGAAUAGGUUGGAAUGUGCACACCUGGCUCGACCAAAAGAGGCACAGCUUAGGGGCGGCUUGGACCCAGCUCAAGUCUGGACUUGGCAGCUUUCCUGAGCCUGCCUAGGAAAGCAGGCUGGAGUGCAGGUGUCCCAGGGCUCUCUGGAGGAGCAGCAGCAACACCAUGCCUGGCUCUGGUGCCUUGGUCUCCUCGGAGAGGACACUUGAAGGAAUGGCACUCAGCAGAGUACAGGCCCCGUAACAGUGCAGCGCAGCGACAUCAGCUGAGGACUGGACAGAAUGGUCCUGAUGUUUGGCAGUGAUCCGUACUUGGAUAACCCUCUGCAUGAAAGGGCAGUGAGCCAGGAACCUCAAGCCACCCGGGAGCAGGUGCCUACUUGGCGUUUUCUGAGACGAAAGGCAGCGGAGUGUGUAGCAAAGGUGGCGCUGGCUCUUGCUGCUUCUGAAGCUCCAUCUCGGCAGCCCUCUGCAGCGCCACCUCCACCAGCAACUGGAAGCUGCUGAAGUCAUCCUUGUCCUGCUCUGGGGGUGUGGGUGGUGGCGUAUUGAAGAGUCCACCCGUGGGGCUUCCAGCCUCUGCCCUAGUCAGCAGGGGUCACUGUAAAGCUCUGGCUGUUCUGGAACUCACUAUGUAGACCAAGGUGGCCUCAAAUGCUUCUUCUCCCUGAUUCCCAGGAUUAAAGCCACCAUGCUUGGGCUGGAGAGAUGGCUCACUGAUGUAAGAGCACUGAUUGCUCUUCCAGAGGUCCUGAGUUCAAAUCCCAGCAACCACGUGGUGGCUCACAACCAUCUAUAAAAAGGAUCUGAUGCCCUCUUCUGGUGUCUGAAGACAGCUACAGUGUACUCAUAUAAAU